GCCGAGCUAGGAGGACCUGCGUGGGUGGGUUUGGGUGUUGACGUUUAAGUAAGGAGCGCGCAGUCCGGCAGGCGUCCUGCGUGUCCAUGGUAACCAAAUCUCUAUUGCUUGCCUGUGCGGAAUUAGUGCGGGGCCCCACUUGACACGUUCACGUUGUUGUGGCUGGCAAGGUCUUCUACGUGUAAGGAAUGCGCCAGCCUUUGGGAGCUCAGAGACGAAAGAGACAUGCUCUGUUCCUAAUAAGUUUAAGAUUUAGUGGACAAGUCCCAUAGCAAGUGCUGAACAGGUGGUUGAUAAAUACUCGUUUCGUGAAUAAUGGAUCGUGGCCUUGUGAAACUAGAAUGUGGAGUUCACAAAGGAGAACAGCAGGUUAUGCUGAAAGGUUCUGAUAGCCUCUCAUCCUCCAUCAGUCAGUCAUCUGCCGGUGAAAGUGAGCUUUUUCAAAAGGUCUGUUUCUAAGCUCCACCCAAAUUGCUGGCGGAUUGCUUCUCCCAUCCAAAUACCAACCAGGCCCAGCCCUGCUUAGCUUCUGACAUCAGACAAGAUCAGGUGCUUUUGGGGGCUGUGGCCAUAGACUGCUAGUGGAUCAUUUCUGAUUGUUGCAUGGUACUCCUCGGUGUAUAUCCAGCAUGUUUUACCUGUCCACCUCCAUGAUAGCAGACCUUGUGGACUCUCUACCUGAUUCCCCUGCACAAGGCCAGCAUUUCAUCACUGCCUGACACAGCAGUUCUCAACCCUGCCAGACUUGAUAAUCUGCCUCAAGUGACAAAUACAUUAUAAUGUGUCCUUUGUUAUUCUGCAAUGAAAUUCACAGACGCUAUAACCCAUUGUCUUGUCGUGGGCAGCCUCUCCGCCCUCAACGCUGCCUGCCUCCUGGUGUUCUCAUCCUGUGUUAACACCCACCCCUUGAGUGUGGGCUCCGUUUACUGACGUCUAGUGACUGUAAGUGAUAGGGUGUCACUUCCAAGGUGAGGUUACAAGAAAAACCCUGGCUUCUACUUGGGUGUUCUCCCUGGUUCUCUCUCUCACCUGCUCUGAGAGAAGCCAGCUGCAUGUUGUCAACCACCCCAUGGAGAGAACUGUGUGGCAGGUAACUGAGGGAUGCCUCUGGCAACAGCCAGGGAAGGGCUGGGGCCGUUGGUCUAACACCCUGAGGGAACUGAGUUCUGCUGACAACCACGUGAGCAGUUUGGGAAGUGGGUCCUUCCCCUGCAGUACUUCAUAGGGGACCGCAGCCCCAGCCAGCAUCCUGAGUGCGCAAUAAGGGACCUUCAGCCAGAGGCACCCAGCUAAACUGCACCCAGAACCCUGACCCACAGAAUCGGUAUGAUAAAUGUAUAUUGCAUUUGCCACUAAGUUUUGGGAUAAUUUGUCAACACAGCAAUAAAUAACUAAUACACUUAACUACCCAUGUAAUUUAAAAACAAUAUAUAGUACCCCUAAUGGUAACAUAAAAGUAAAAUAAAGACAGUAAAUUAUAAUUACACGUGUUUCAAAAUGGACUAGAGGGCAUAAAGAUCUCAGAUGCUCGCCACAUGUAUAGAACCACUUUGAAUGCAGGAGCUUCAAAUGCAGAUUGGUUCCAGUGAGUGUUGGCCAGUGAAAUUAUUACAAGUGAUGUGGCCUUGGUGACAUUAUUUCCUGAAAUUGUUCACACUCUUCAUAA